rnacentral:rRNA from 1 species
AUGAGCGGCGGGCAGGAGCUGAAUCUGCCGCCGGGCUUCCGGUUCCACCCGACGGACGAGGAGCUGGUGACACACUACCUCUGCCGCCGCUGCGCCGGCGCGCCCAUCGCCGUCCCCAUCAUCACCGAGAUCGACCUCUACAAGUUCGACCCCUGGCAGCUCCCGAAGAUGGCGCUGUACGGCGAGAAGGAGUGGUACUUCUUCUCCCCGCGGGACCGCAAGUACCCCAACGGGUCCAGGCCCAACCGGGCCGCCGGGUCCGGCUACUGGAAGGCCACCGGGGCCGACAAGCCCGUGGGCACCCCCAAGCCGCUGGCCAUCAAGAAGGCGCUCGUCUUCUACGCUGGCAAGGCCCCCAAGGGCGAGAAGACCAACUGGAUCAUGCACGAGUACCGCCUCGCCGACGUCGACCGCUCCGCCCGCAAGAAGAACAGCCUCAGGUUGGAUGAUUGGGUGCUGUGCCGCAUCUACAACAAGAAGGGCGGCAUGGAGAAGCCGGCGUCCGUGGACCGGAAGCCGGCGGCCAUGGGCGGCUACGGGGGUGGCCCUGGGGCCAUGGUGAGCUCCCCGCAGGAGCAGAAGCCCGUCAUGGGGAUGAACGCCAACGGCGGCGGCGGCGGCGUGCAGCCGUUCCCGGACUUCGCGGCGUACUACGACCGGCCGUCCGACUCGAUGCCGCGGCUGCACGCCGACUCGAGCUGCUCGGAGCAGGUGCUGUCGCCGGAGUUCCCGGCCGGGGAGGUGCAGAGCCAGCCCAAGAUCAGCGAGUGGGAGCGCUCGUUCGCCUCCGGCGGCGACCCCGUGAACCCGGCGGCCGGCUCCAUGCUCGAGCCCAACGGCGGCUUCGGCGGCGACCCGCUCCUCCAGGACAUCCUCAUGUACUGGGGCAAGCCGUUCUAG